GACGAACGCUGGCGGCGUGCUUAACACAUGCAAGUCGAACGAAGAGCGAUGGAAGCUUGCUUCUAUCAGUCUUAGUGGCGAACGGGUGAGUAACGCGUAAUCAACCUGCCCUUUAGAGGGGGACAACAGUUGGAAACGACUGCUAAUACCGCAUACGAUCUAAUCUCGGCAUCGAGGAAAGAUGAAAGGUGGCCGCUAUUUAUAAGCUAUCACUGAAGGAGGGGAUUGCGUCUGAUUAGCUAGUUGGAGGGGUAACGGCCCACCAAGGCGAUGAUCAGUAGCCGGUCUGAGAGGAUGAACGGCCACAUUGGGAAUGGAACACGGCCCAGACUUCUACGGGAGGCAGCAGUGGGGGAUCUUCCGCAAUGGACGAAAGUCUGACGGAGCAACGCCGGGGGAGUGAUGAAGGCCUUCGGGUUGUAAAGCUCUGUUAGUCGGGACGAAAGGCCUUCUUGCGAACAGUUAGCAGGAUUGACGGUACCGGAAGAGAAAGCCACGGCUAACUACGUG
rnacentral:rRNA from 1 species